rnacentral:ncRNA from 1 species
UUUUUGGGGAUCAAUUAUUCCUUUGGCUAUCAUUGAGGAGAUCGAUCCUGAAAAACCUUCAUUUAGGCCCUUAAAAUGACCCCGGAAGUUAAAACUGCUAAAAAUAGUAAAUUGUCAAAAUUGUCAGAAAAUUGUUUUGAGCCAGUUGGAAAAGGUGGGUGGCCACCGAUAUCCAUCUAGAUCAAUCAUGAUAACUCUAUGGAUCGCAAAAACCUUGUGUUGGUGAUGCUUCAUUCAAAUUUCUUCCCUAUCAACUUUCGAUGGUAGGAUAGAGGCCUACCAUGGUGGUGAUGGGUGAUGGAGAAUUAGGGUUCAAUUCUGGAGAGGGAGCCUGAGAAAUGGCUACCACAUCCAAGGAAGGCAGCAUAAAUGAAAAUUACCCAAUCCUGACAUGGGGAGGUAGUGACAAUAAAUAACAAUACUGGGCUCAUCGAGUCUGGCAAUUGGAAUGAGUACAAUCUAAAUCCCUUAACAAGGAUCCAUUAGAGGGCAAGUCUGGUGCUAGCAUCCAUGGUAAUUCUAGCUCCAAU